rnacentral:tRNA from 9 species
GGGCCCUUAGCUCAGUCUGGUAAGAGCGCUCGGCUCAUAACCGAGUGGUCGAUGGUUCGAAUCCGUCAGGGCCCA